rnacentral:rRNA from 1 species
AAAGACCUUGCGCUUGAGGAGCGGCCGAUGUCUGAUUAGCUAGUUGGUGGGGUAAAGGCCUACCAAGGCGACGAUCAGUAGUUGGUCUGAGAGGACGACCAACCACACUGGGACUGAGACACGGCCCAGACUCCUACGGGAGGCAGCAGUGGGGAAUUUUGGACAAUGGGCGAAAGCCUGAUCCAGCCAUGCCGCGUGAGUGAAGAAGGCCUUCGGGUUGUAAAGCUCUUUCAGUCGGAAAGAAACAAUUGCAACUAAUAAUUGUAAUUAAUGACGGUACCGACAGAAGAAGCACCGGCUAACUACGUGCCAGCAGCCGCGGUAUACGUAGGGUGCGAGCGUUAAUCGGAAUUACUGGGCGUAAAGGGUGCGCAGGCGGCUUUGUAAGUCAGAUGUGAAAUCCCCGGGCUUAACCUGGGAAUG